rnacentral:rRNA from 1 species
CACUCCUACGGGAGGCAGCAGUGGGGAAUUUUGGACAAUGGGCGAAAGCCUGAUCCAGCAAUGCCGCGUGAGUGAAGAAGGCCUUCGGGUUGUAAAGCUCUUUUGUCAGGGAAGAAACGGUGAAAGCUAAUAUCUUUUGCUAAUGACGGUACCUGAAGAAUAAGCACCGGCUAACUACGUGCCAGCAGCCGCGGUAAUACGUAGGGUGCAAGCGUUAAUCGGAAUUACUGGGCGUAAAGCGUGCGCAGGCGGUUUUGUAAGUCUGAUGUGAAAUCCCCGGGCUCAACCUGGGAAUUGCAUUGGAGACUGCAAGGCUAGAAUCUGGCAGAGGGGGGUAGAAUUCCACGUGUAGCAGUGAAAUGCGUAGAUAUGUGGAGGAACACCGAUGGCGAAGGCAGCCCCCUGGGUCAAGAUUGACGCUCAUGCACGAAAGCGUGGGGAGCAAACAGGAUUAGAAACCCCGGUAGUCCCAUG